rnacentral:rRNA from 1 species
CCGGCUGCGGUAUGCCCCUUUGAGCGUCAUUGUUACCCUUCGGGAGUCUUUGCCUUCAGAGACCCCGAGUUCGGAGUCCUUGGUCCUCGUUGGAUCGUGUUCUCUCAGAUCGAUCGCGCCGAUCGUCCGGUGGGUCCUGUAAUGCCUGAGCGUGGAGGGCCUCUGGGGUUUCGAGAGGCGUCCGACCGCGUGUUGAAGCGCCGGUCAGCAAGUCCCGCACGGCUCAGCCCGUCGGUGCUACAGCUUCAUGACCUCAUCGGGGUAGGACAACCCGCUAGACUUAAGCAUAUUAAUCAGCGGAGGAAAAGAAACUAACCAGGAUUCCCUCAGUAACUGCGAGUGAAGCGGGAUCGGCUCAAUGUGUGAAUCUGGCUUGGGGUCGUUCCCGUGUCCGAGUUGUGCACUACGGACGCUUCGUCUGCGUUUGUAACGGCGGUGGAAGUCCGAUGAAACACGGCACCUCAGAGGGUCACAGUCCUGUACCACCUGCCUGCACUCGCGCCAAUGACAAGCGCUCCUCGAGUCGCGUAGUUUUGUAUUGCUGCGCCAAGUGGGAGGUAGAGACCUUCUAAGGCUAAAUAUGAUGACGUGACCGAUAGCACACAAGUACCGCGAGGGAAAGGUGAAAAGCAACCAUGAAAAAUGGGUUGAAACAGUAGUGAAAGCGCUACCGGGAUAAGGGCUAUCGGGUGCUGGGGCUCUUGGGGUGUGCUUCAGUGCUACCCUUUGGGACGGCCCGCGCGGGUUGAUGUUGGGGCGAUAGACGCGCCGCGGGAAUU